GACAGAGGCCUCGAGCGUUAGGCGGAAUCACUGGGCUUAAAGCGUGUGUAGGCGGCUCGUUAAGUACCUUGUGAAAUCCCACAGCUUAACUGUGGAACUGCUUGGUAUACUGCCAGUCUUGAGCCAGCUAGGGGCUACCGGAACAAAUGGUGGAGCGGUGAAAUGCGUAGAUAUCAUUUGGAACGCCAAUGGUGAAAACAGGUAGCUGGGGCUGUGCUGACGCUGAGACACGAAAGCCAGGGGAGCGAACGGG
rnacentral:rRNA from 1 species